GGAAAUAGCUGGUUCUCCGCGAAAACUAUUUAGGUAGUGCGGUGAGCGGACACCUUGAGGGGUAGAGCACUGGAAGAGCUAAGGGGGAGCGAUCCUUACUAAACUUUACCAAACUCCGAAUACUCAAGAGUGAUACUCACCAGACAGACAUUAGGUGCUAAGGUCUAGUGUCGAGAGGGAAAGAGCCCAGACCGCCAAUUAAGGUCCCAAAAUUAUGGCUAAGUGGUAAAGGAAGUGAAACGUCCAAAACAGUCAGGAGGUUGGCUUAGAAGCAGCCAUCCUUUAAAGAAAGCGUAAUAGCUCACUGAUCUAAACAAGACGUCUUGCGCCGAAGAUGUAACGGGGCUAAAGCCAUAUACCGAAGUUGCGGAUUUACACGUUAAAGUGUAAGUGGUAGCGGAGCGUUCUGUAAGCCUGCGAAGGUGUACCGUAAGGUAUGCUGGAGGUAUCAGAAGUGAGAAUGCUGACAUGAGUAGCGAAAAGAAGAGUGAGAGACUCUUCCGCUGAAAGUCCAAGGUUUCCUGCGUAAAGCUAAUCUGCGCAGGGUUAGUCGGUCCCUAAGGCGAGGCAGAGAUGCGUAGUCGAUGGCAAUCAGGUUAAUAUUCCUGAACCGGCCCGGAAGUGACGGAUUGAGUAAAUUGUAAGUUCUUAUUGGAUUGAGCUUGCAGUGAAUCAGUCCCAGGAAAUAGCCCGGGCUAAGACCGUACCCGAAACCGACACAGGUAGGUAGAGAAUACCAAAGCGCUUGAGAGAACUAUGUUGAAGGAACUAGGCAAAAUACUUGCGUAACUUCGGGAUAAGCAAGCCCCAUUUUAAGGCAACUUAGGGUGGGGGGCACAUACUAGGGGGUAGCGACUGUUUACUAAAAACACAGGGCUCUGCUAAAUUGAAAGAUGAAGUAUAGGGUCUGACGCCUGCCCGGUGCUGGAAGGUUAAGGAGAGAUGUGCAAGCAUUGAACUGAAGCCCCAGUAAACGGCGGCCGUAACUAUAACGGUCCUAAGGUAGCGAAAUUCCUUGUCGGGUAAGUUCCGACCUGCACGAAUGGCGUAACGACUUCCCCGCUGUCUCCAACAUAGGCUCAGCGAAAUUGAACUCUGAGUUAAGAUGCUCAGUACCCGCGGUUAGACGGAGAGACCCCGUGAACCUUUACUAUAGCUUUGCAGUGGUAUUAGGUAACAAAUGUGUAGAAUAGGUGGGAUGCUAUGAAGCUACGACGCCAGUUGUAGUGGAGCAGACUUUGAAAUACCACCCUUUUGUUGUUUGAUAUCUAACCUGCUCCCGUUAUCCGGGAGAGGGACCCUGCAUGGUGGGUAGUUUGACUGGGGCGGUCGCCUCCCAAAGAGUAACGGAGGCGCGCAAAGGUUGGCUCAGAUUGGUCAGAAAUCAAUCGUUGAGUGCAAUGGCAUAAGCCAGCCUGACUGCGAGAGCGACGGUUCGAGCAGAUACGAAAGUAGGUCAUAGUGAUCCGGUGGUCCC
rnacentral:rRNA from 1 species